AUUGAACGCUGGCGGCAGGCCUAACACAAGCAAGUCGAGCGAGCGGCGGACGGGUGAGUAAUGUAUGGGGAUCUGCCCGAUAGAGGGGGAUAACUACUGGAAACGGUGGCUAAUACCGCAUACUAUCGGAUGAACCCACGUGGGAUUAGCUAGUAGGUGGGGUAAAGGCGCACAAAGGCGACGAUCUCUAGCUGGUCUGAGAGGAUGAUCAGCCACACUGGGACUGAGACACGGCCCAGACGCCUACGGGAGGCAGCAGUGGGGAAUAUUGCACAAUGGGCGCAAGCCUGAUGCAGCCAUGCCGCGUGGGUGAAGAAGGCCUUAGGAUUGUAAAGUACUUUCAGCGGGGAGGCGUUACCCGCAGAAGAAGCACCGGCUAACUCCGUGCCAGCAGCCGCGGUAAUAC
rnacentral:rRNA from 1 species